rnacentral:rRNA from 1 species
GAUGAACGCUGGCUACAGGCUUAACACAUGCAAGUCGAGGGGAAACGACGGGGAAGCUUGCUUCCCCGGGCGUCGACCGGCGCACGGGUGAGUAACGCGUAUCCAACCUGCCUCUGACUGAGGGAUAACCCGUCGAAAGUCGGCCUAAUACCUCAUGGUAUCGUCUGCGGGCAUCCAACGACGAUUAAAGAUUUCAUCGGUCAGGGAUGGGGAUGCGUCUGAUUAGCUUGUUGGCGGGGUAACGGCCCACCAAGGCUACGAUCAGUAGGGGUUCUGAGAGGAAGGGCCCCCACAGUGGAACUGAGACACGGUCCAAACUCCUACGGGAGGCAGCAGUGAGGAAUAUUGGUCAAGGGGCGAGAGCCUGAACCAGCCAAGUAGCGUGCAGGAAGACGGCCCUAUGGGUUGUAAACUGCUUUUAUGCGGGGAUAAAGUGAGGGACGGGUCCCUCAUUGCAGGUACCGCAUGAAUAAGGACCGGCUAAUUCCGUG